rnacentral:misc_RNA from 1 species
ACCUACUGUUUAAUUUUGAGGGUUCGUUUUUACGAAUACUCAAAAUUAGCACUUUUAGCAACAGAAUAAACUGAACGCAUGUGAAGUUUGUUUGUUGGCGACGUGCUUUAGCACUUUGAAAACUGCAUAUAUAUUUAGUGAUAUGACAUCUAAUUUGUAAUAUAUAAAGCUGAUAACUUUUUAAAAUUAUCGAAGUUGAUAGCUUCUAAUCUACCAAACCUUUUUAACUGGUCAA